AUUGAACGCUGGCGGCAGGCCUAACACAUGCAAGUCGAGCGGAUGAAGGGAGCUUGCUCCUGGAUUCAGCGGCGGACGGGUGAGUAAUGCCUAGGGAUCUGCCUGGUAGUGGGGGAUAACGUCCGGAAACGGGCGCUAAUACCGCAUACGUCCUGAGGGAGAAAGUGGGGGAUCUUCGGACCUCACGCUAUCAGAUGAGCCUAGGUCGGAUUAGCUAGUUGGUGGGGUAAAGGCCUACCAAGGCGACGAUCCGUAACUGGUCUGAGAGGAUGAUCAGUCACACUGGAACUGAGACACGGUCCAGACUCCUACGGGAGGCAGCAGUGGGGAAUAUUGGACAAUGGGCGAAAGCCUGAUCCAGCCAUGCCGCGUGUGUGAAGAAGGUCUUCGGAUUGUAAAGCACUUUAAGUUGGGAGGAAGGGCAGUAAGUUAAUACCCUGCUGUUUUGACGUUACCAACAGAAUAAGCACCGGCUAACUUCGUG
rnacentral:rRNA from 1 species